GGCAAACGGGUGAGUAACGCGUGGGCGACCUACCUUCGAGUGGGGGAUAACCUUCCGAAAGGAGGGCUAAUACCGCAUGACAUCCCGUGUUUGGACACACGGGCAUCAAAGUCGGGGAUCGCAAGACCUGACGCUUGGAGAGGGGCCCGCGUCCGAUUAGCUGGUUGGUGGGGUAAUGGCCCACCAAGGCUCCGAUCGGUAUCCGGCCUGAGAGGGCGGACGGACACACUGGAACUGAGACACGGUCCAG
rnacentral:rRNA from 1 species